rnacentral:rRNA from 1 species
GACGAACGCUGGCGGCGUGCUUAACACAUGCAAGUCGAACGGAAAGGCCCUGCUUUUGUGGGGUGCUCGAGUGGCGAACGGGUGAGUAACACGUGAGUAACCUGCCCUUGACUUUGGGAUAACUUCAGGAAACUGGGGCUAAUACCGGAUAGGAGCUCCUGCUGCAUGGUGGGGGUUGGAAAGUUUCGGCGGUUGGGGAUGGACUCGCGGCUUAUCGGCUUGUUGGUGGGGUAGUGGCUUACCAAGGCUUUGACGGGUAGCCGGCCUGAGAGGGUGACCGGCCACAUGGGGACUGAGAUACGGCCCAGACUCCUACGGGAGGCAGCAGUGGGGAAUAUUGCACAAUGGGCGGAAGCCUGAUACAGCAACGCCGCGUGCGGGAUGACGGCCUUCGGGUUGUAAACCGCUGUCGCCUGUGACGAAGCGUGAGUGACGGUAAUGGGUAAAGAAGCACCGGCUAACUACGUG